AUUGAACGCUGGCGGCAGGCCUAACACAUGCAAGUCGAACGAGUGGCGGACGGGUGCGUAAUUUCUGGGCAACUGCCCGAUGGAGGGGGAUAACUACUGGAAACGGUAGCUAAUACCGCAUACCAUCGGAUGUGCCCAGAUGGGAGUAGCUCGUAGGUGGGGUAACGGCUCACCUAGGCGACGAUCCCUAGCUGGUCUGAGAGGAUGACCAGCCACACUGGAACUGAGCAACGGUCCAGACUCCGACGGGAGGCAGCAGUGGGGAAUAUUGCACAAGGGGCGCAAGCCUGAUGCAGCCAGGCCGCGUGUAUGAAGAAGGCCUUCGGGUGGUAAAGGACUUUCAGCGAGGAGGCGUUACUCGCAGAAGAAGCACCGGCUAACUCCGUGCCAGCAGCCGCGGUAAUAC
rnacentral:rRNA from 1 species